rnacentral:rRNA from 1 species
UGCGGAAUAUUGGACAAUGGGCGCAAGCCUGAUCCAGCCAUGCCGCGUGCAGGAUGACGGUCCUAUGGAUUGUAAACUGCUUUUGCACAGGAAGAAACAUCCCGACGUGUCGGGACUUGACGGUACUGUGAGAAUAAGGAUCGGCUAACUCCGUGCCAGCAGCCGCGGUAAUACGGAGGAUCCAAGCGUUAUCCGGAAUCAUUGGGUUUAAAGGGUCCGUAGGCGGCCUUAUAAGUCAGUGGUGAAAUCUCCCGGCUCAACCGGGAAAUGGCCAUUGAUACGGUAGGGCGUGAAUUAUUAGGAAGUAACUAGAAUAUGUAGUGUAGCGGUGAAAUGCUUAGAGAUUACAUGGAAUACCAAUUGCGAAGGCAGGUUACUACUAAUGGAUUGACGCUGAUGGACGAAAGCGUGGGUAGCGAACA